rnacentral:rRNA from 1 species
CAGUAGCCGCGGUAAUACGAAGGGUGCAAGCGUUAAUCGGAAUUACUGGGCGUAAAGCGCGCGUAGGUGGUUUGGUAAGAUGGAUGUGAAAUCCCCGGGCUCAACCUGGGAACUGCAUCCAUAACUGCCUGACUAGAGUACGGUAGAGGGUGGUGGAAUUUCCUGUGUAGCGGUGAAAUGCGUAGAUAUAGGAAGGAACACCAGUGGCGAAGGCGACCACCUGGACUGAUACUGACACUGAGGUGCGAAAGCGUGGGGAGCAAACAGGAUUAGAUACCCGAGUAGUCCCUGUCUCUUAUAA